rnacentral:rRNA from 1 species
AUUGAACGCUGGCGGCAGGCCUAACACAUGCAAGUCGAACGAGUGGCGGACGGGUGAGUAAUGUCUGGGAAACUGCCUGAUGGAGGGGGAUAACUACUGGAAACGGUAGCUAAUACCGCAUACCAUCAGAUGUGCCCAGAUGGGAUUAGCUAGGUGGUGGGGUAACGGCUCACCAGGGCCACGAUCCCUAGCUGGUCUGAGAGGAUGACCAGCCACACUGGAACUGAGACACGGUCCAUACUCCUACGGGAGUCAGCAGUGGGGAAUAUUGCACAAUGGGCUCAAGCCUGAUUCAGCCAUGCCGCGUGUAUGAAGAAGGCCUUCGGGUUGUAAAGUACUUUCAGCUGGGAGGCGUUACCCGCAGAAGAAGCACCGGCUAACUCCGGGCCAGCAGCCGCGGUAAUAC